rnacentral:lncRNA from 1 species
AGCAUACCUCAGGCUAUGCAGUCAAGAUCUUCGAUGUGUAAGGUAUCCACACCAUCUGAUCGUCACGCUACUGGUCAAGCUGAUCCUCAUAGUAUAUGACUAUGUAGCACUGGAUUGCUUGCACCAGUCAAUCGAGUCCUCCAUCUCUCCUAAACAAAGUCAAUAUGUUAUUGUGUGAAAACGUAUAGUCAUUUAUCAUAAAAAAUCAAUGCUACUGAUUAUAUACUUGCAUCCCAGUAGAUCGGUCUGGUCGUGCUGUAUCCCGUCAAAUAGACCCUCAAAAUCAGCAUCAUCUUCAUCUAACGGAUCAUGUCCUACUGCAUCAUCUCCCGACGUCGGCUGGUGGGUUGCUAUUCUGGGGAGCACCCUAUUUGGCCAU